rnacentral:tRNA from 2 species
CGGGGCGUAGCGCAGUUUGGUAGCGCGCUUCCUUGGGGUGGAAGAGGUCGUGAGUUCGAAUCUCGCCGCUCCGA